AUUAUAGUAGUUUAGUGGUUAGAGUAUCAGUUUUAAAUUCUAAAAUCCUGGGUUCGAAUCCUGCAAGUUACAAUU